AGGAGGAUUUUUCCACACGAGACAAAGACUUCGACCAAGGAUGCUAGAAACUCCUGUUGCUAAAAGAUCCACCAUCGUCUGGGUGUGAGUUGAAUCUGCUCCCUAAAAUUCCAUCUUAGAACUUGUGGCAUAGACAUUCAUCAUCAACGCAGCGGCGAACUGCACCUCACAGGCACUUCCUGCUGCAGGAAGACCUUCAGGAGAACCGAUGAAAAAUCCUCUUCAACUCCAGUGAAAACACUGAAAAUAAAAGCAGAUGGAGAAUUUUAAGUGAUUUAAUAACUGAGAUGAAACACAGAUUAGCAACAGGAAAGCCAGAACUAAAUGUGAUGGGGGAAUUAUUACAAGACAAAUGUAAAUAAAUACAAAUUUAACCAACAAAAUGAGGAUGAGAAAUAAACUCACUUAUUAUCAAAAUAUUGAAUAUUUACCAACAAUUGGAGGUAGAUCUUUUUCAACCAAUGAGACCUGGAGUCUCACUUUUCACAUUCAUUCAUUGAAGUUCAAAUGUUGAUAAAUGGGAUAAAACAUGCAUUACAAAACACUGUAAUUGUAAGCAUUCUGGUGUAUAUUUGAUAGUUAAGACAGCAUUAUUUUUUAAUCAUUACAAAAAGAUAGAAACUGAUGUAAAUAUGUUGUGUUUCACAUUAACAAAUCUGUAUUUGUUGGUAUUUUACAAUAAUUUAUUUGAUGUCUCAGCUUAAACUCACUGAUUAAGAGAAGCAUUCAGCUCAUGUCCGGCUGUAAUUAACAAGAAUAACUUAAUUUGAGGAUUAAAUUUGUUUAUUUGAUCUGUUAUUUUUUUAACAGGUUGUAUUUUGUGUGAUCUGAAGCUUUGAUUCAUUUUGGGAUAAUUAAAAUUUCUUUUAAGAGAAAAAGAGAAAUUUUCUUAUGAAACUCGCUCUUAAUUUUAGCUCAUAUUUUACGAGCUUAGUUAUUUGCUUUGUUGCUGCGUUUGUAGUUUUUUGUUUAUUUGAUCAAAACACAUCUCUCUUGUAAAUGAGAUCUUUGAUGUCAAUGAGACAUAAAAGUCAAAUAAAAAUAAAUAAAUAAAUACAUGUCAAACUAUUAA